AGGGCAGUAUCCAUUGUGAACGGCACCUUCACACACGCAAGACCCACUUAUUAUAAAUAUCUGCCUUGAUCUGGUAAAGACAGGGACGGAAGA
rfam:Lysinibacillus macroides strain DSM 54 Scaffold1, whole genome shotgun sequence.